rnacentral:rRNA from 1 species
ACGGCUCAGUAACACGUAGUCAACAUGCCCAAAGGACGUGGAUAACCUCGGGAAACUGAGGAUAAACCGCGAUAGGUCAUAAGUACUGGAACGUUUUAUGGCUCAAAUCUACAUGGCCUCUGGAUUGGACUGCGGCCGAUCAGGCUGUUGGUGAGGUAAUGGCCCACCAAACCUGUUACCGGUACGGGCUCUGAGAGGAGGAGCCCGGAGAUGGGCACUGAGACAAGGGCCCAGGCCCUAUGGGGCGCAGCAGGCGCGAAACCUCUGCAAUAGGCGAAAGCUUGACAGGGUUACUCUGAGUGAUUCCCGCUAAGGGAAUCUUUUGGCAUCUCUAAAAACGAUGCAGAAUAAGGGGUGGGCAAGUCUGGUGUCAGCCGCCGCGGUAAUACCAGCACCCCGAGUGGUCGGGACGAUUAUUGGGCCUAAAGCAUCCGUAGCCGGUCUUGCAAGUCUUCCGUUAAAUCCACCUGCUUAACAGAUGGGCUGCGGAAGAUACUACAAGACUAGGAGGCGGGAGAGGCAAGCGGUACUCAGUGGGUAGGGGUAAAAUCCUCUGAUCCAUUGAAGACCACCAGUGGCGAAGGCGGCUUGCCAGAACGCGCUCGACGGUGAGGGAUGAAAGCUGGGGGAGCAAACCGGAUUAGAUACCCGGGUAGUCCCAGCUGUAAACGAUGCAGACUCGGUGAUGGGCCGGCUUCAUGCCGGCUCAGUGCCGCAGGGAAGCCGUUAAGUCUGCCGCCUGGGGAGUACGGUCGCAAGACUGAAACUUAAAGGAAUUGGCGGGGGAGCAC